GACAGAGGUGCCGAGCGUUAGGCGGAAUCACUGGGCUUAAAGCGUGUGUAGGCGGGCCGUUAAGUAUCUUGUGAAAUCCCCCGGCUCAACCGGGGAAUGGCUGGAUAUACUGGCGGUCUUGAGCAGUCUAGGGGCAGAUGGAACAAGUGGUGGAGCGGUGAAAUGCGUAGAGAUCCGGAAGAACACCGACGGCGAAGGCAGCGUCCUGGCCGAGCACUGACGCUCAGGCACGAAAGCGCGGGGAGCGAACAGG
rnacentral:rRNA from 1 species